CCUCCUUCGGGAGGGGAUUAGUGGCGAACGGGUGAGUAACACGUGGGCAAUCUGCCCUGCACUCUGGGACAAGCCCUGGAAACGGGGUCUAAUACCGGAUAUGAGCCUGGGAGGCAUCUCCCGGGUUGUAAAGCUCCGGCGGUGCAGGAUGAGCCCGCGGCCUAUCAGCUUGUUGGUGAGGUAACGGCUCACCAAGGCGACGACGGGUAGCCGGCCUGAGAGGGCGACCGGCCACACUGGGACUGAGACACGGCCCAGACUCCUACGGGAGGCAGCAGUGGGGAAUAUUGCACAAUGGGCGCAAGCCUGAUGCAGCGACGCCGCGUGAGGGAUGACGGCCUUCGGGUUGUAAACCUCUUUCAGCAGGGAAGAAGCGAAAGUGACGGUACCUGCAGAAGAAGCGCCGGCUAACUACGUGCCAGCAGCCGCGGUAAUACGUAGGGCGCAAGCGUUGUCCGGAAUUAUUGGGCGUAAAGAGCUCGUAGGCGGCUUGUCGCGUCGGAUGUGAAAGCCCGGGGCUUAACCCCGGGUCUGCAUUCGAUACGGGCAGGCUAGAGUUCGGUAGGGGAGAUCGGAAUUCCUGGUGUAGCGGUGAAAUGCGCAGAUAUCAGGAGGAACACCGGUGGCGAAGGCGGAUCUCUGGGCCGAUACUGACGCUGAGGAGCGAAAGCGUGGGGAGCGAACAGGAUUAGAUACCCUGGUAGUCCACGCCGUAAACGGUGGGCACUAGGUGUGGGCAACAUUCCACGUUGUCCGUGCC
rnacentral:rRNA from 1 species